GAUGAACGCUGGCGGCGUGCCUAAUACAUGCAAGUCGAGCGAACGGACGAGAAGCUUGCUUUUCUGAUGUUAGCGGCGGACGGGUGAGUAACACGUGGAUAACCUACCUAUAAGACGGGGAGAACUUCGGGAAACCGGAGCUAAUACCGGAUAAUAUUUUGAACGGCAGGGUUCAAAAGUGAAAGACGGUCUUGCUGUCACUUAGAGAUGGAGCCGCGCUGCAUUAGCUAGUUGGUAAGGUAACGGCUUACCAAGGCAACGAUGCAUAGCCGACCUGAGAGGGUGAUCGGCCACACUGGAACUGAGACACGGUCCAGACUCCUACGGGAGGCAGCAGUAGGGAAUCUUCCGCAAUGGGCGAAAGCCUGACGGAGCAACGCCGCGUGAGUGAUGAAGGUCUUCGGAUCGUAAAACUCUGUUAUUAGGGAAGAACAUAUGUGUAAGUAACUGUGCCCAUCUUGACGGUACCUAAUCAGAAAGCCCCGGCUAACUACGUG
rnacentral:rRNA from 1 species